rnacentral:rRNA from 1 species
UGGAGUUUGAUCCUGGCUCACGAUGAACGCUGGCGGUAUGCUUAACACAUGCAAGUCGAACGGUCACUUCGGUGAUAGUGGCGGACGGGUGAGUAACGCGUAAGAAUCUACCUACAGACUCGGGACAACAGUUGGAAACGACUGCUAAUACCGGAUAUGCCUUCGGGUGAAAGAUUUAUCAUCUGUAGAUGAACUUGCGUCCGAUUAGCUAGAUGGAGUGGUAACGGCACACCAUGGCGACGAUCGGUAACUGGUCUGAGAGGAUGACCAGUCACACUGGGACUGAGACACGGCCCAGACUCCUACGGGAGGCAGCAGUGGGGAAUUUUCCGCAAUGGGCGAAAGCCUGACGGAGCAAUACCGCGUGAGGGAAGAAGGUCUGUGGAUUGUAAACCUCUUUUGUUAGGGAAGAUAAUGACGGUACCUAACGAAUAAGCAUCGGCUAACUCCGUGCCAGCAGCCGCGGUAAGACGGAGGAUGCAAGCGUUAUCCGGAAUUAUUGGGCGUAAAGCGUACGUAGGCUGUUUCAUAAGUCUGUUGUCAAAGAGCGAGGCUUAACCUUGUAAAGGCAAUGGAAACUGUGAGGCUAGAGAGAGAAAGGGGCAGGAGGAAUUCCAGGUGUAGCGGUGAAAUGCGUAGAUAUCUGGAAGAACACCAGUGGCGAAAGCGUCCUGCUGGAUCUCAACUGACGCUGAAGUACGAAAGCUAGGGGAGCGAAUGGGAUUAGAUACCCCAGUAGUCCUAGCCGUAAACGAUGGGUACUAGGUGUUAGCCGUAUCGACCCGGUCAGUGCCGUAGCUAACGCGUUAAGUACCCCGCCUGGGGAGUACGGUCGCAAGAUUGAAACUCAAAGGAAUUGACGGGGGCCCGCACAAGCGGUGGAGUAUGUGGUUUAAUUCGAUGCCACGCGAAGACCUUACCAAGGCUUGACAUGUCCCAAUCCUGCUGAAAGGUGGAAUGCCUUCGGGAGCGCGAACACAGUGGUGCAUGGCUGUCGUCAGCUCGUGUCGUGAAAUGCUUGGGUAAGUCCCGCACGAGCGCAACCCACGUAUGUUAGUUGCCAUCAUUACGUUCGUGCACUCUAGCAUAACUGCCCGGGACGAACUCGGACGCAUGUUGUGAUGUACGUCAGUCCAUCAUUGCCGUUAGAGCUUUGGCCUACACUCGUAUCACAUGAAUCGGACCAAAGAUCCGGACCAUGUCCAAUCUAGUCCACUCUCGCGUAUAUCUAGAU